rnacentral:rRNA from 1 species
GGAAUCUUGCGCAAUGGGCGAAAGCCUGACGCAGCGACGCCGCGUGAGCGAUGAAGGCCCUCGGGUUGUAAAGCUCUGUGGGGAGGGAAGAAUAAGGGCAGGCCAAUACCCUGUCUCAUGACGGUACCUCCUUCGCAAGCACCGGCUAACCCUUAGCCAGCCGCCGCGGUAAGUCAGAGGGUGCAAACGUUGUUCGGAAUUCCUGGGCGUAAAGCGCGUGUAGGCGGCCAGGCAAGUCGGAUGUGAAAGCCCAUGGCUCAACCAUGGAAGUGCAUUCGAAACUGCUUGGCUGGAGUCUCGGAGAGGAAGGUGGAAUGCUUGGUGUAGAGGUGAAAUUCGUAGAUAUCAAGCGGAACACCGGUGGCGAAGGCGACCUUCUGGACGAUGACUGACGCUGAGACGCGAAAGCGUGGGGAGCAAA